AUUGAACGCUGGCGGCAUGCUUUACACAUGCAAGUCGAACGGUAACAGGUUAAGCUGACGAGUGGCGAACGGGUGAGUAAUGCAUCGGAACGUGCCCGGUCGUGGGGGAUAACGCAGCGAAAGCUGCGCUAAUACCGCAUACGAUCUGAGGAUGAAAGCGGGGGACCGUAAGGCCUCGCGCGAUCGGAGCGGCCGAUGUCAGAUUAGGUAGUUGGUGGGGUAAAGGCUCACCAAGCCGACGAUCCGUAGCUGGUCUGAGAGGACGACAAGCCACACUGGGACGGAGACACGGCCCAGACUCCUACGGGAGGCAGCAGUGGGGAAUUUUGGACAAUGGGCGCAAGCCUGAUCCAGCAAUGCCGCGUGCAGGAAGAAGGCCUUCGGGUUGUAAACUGCUUUUGUACGGAGCGAAAAGGCUCUCUCUAAUACAGGGGGCUCAUGACGGCACCGUAAGAAUAAGCACCGGCUAACUACGUGCCAGCCGCCGCGGUAA
rnacentral:rRNA from 1 species